rnacentral:rRNA from 1 species
CCUUAGUUACCAGCACGUAAUGUGGGAACUCUAAGGAGACUGCCGGUGACAAACCGGAGGAAGGUGGGGAUGACGUCAAGUCAUCAUGGCCCUUACGGCCAGGGCUACACACGUGCUACAAUGGUCGGUACAAAGGGUUGCCAAGCCGCGAGGUGGAGCUAAUCCCAUAAAACCGAUCGUAGUCCGGAUCGCAGUCUGCAACUCGACUGCGUGAAGUCGGAAUCGCUAGUAAUCGUGAAUCAGAAUGUCACGGUGAAUACGUUCCCGGGCCUU